rfam:Termitomyces sp. J132 unplaced genomic scaffold scaffold208, whole genome shotgun sequence.
GGCGCUAUAGCCAAGUGGUUACGGCGACAGAUUCGAAUAACACGCGGGUAUCUGUUCCUCUUUGAGGGCGCAGGUUCAAAUCCUGCUGGCGUCG